AUUGACAAUAACCCAAUUAGUAACCACCUACAGCAUAGAAACGUUGCAGAAGACAAACAAACAUUGCGCAAAAGGUUUCAUCCUCAUCUUUUAUUUCUUCAGAAAUGCUACUAGGGAAGCUGUCAGCCCGACUGAGAAUGGGACUGCGAGUAAGACAUCAAGGAGGCAAAGUCGCAGGACAAAUAUCAAACGCAGCUGCCGUCAGGACAAUGCGGAUAAGUCAAAUCGCAAGAUGCUCGCGUCAACCAUAAAACUAGCCAGAAAGAUAAAACGCACGCCGGACCCAAAACCCGAGAGUCCGCACCAGGACCGCCCCUGGCGAACGCUACGAGUUUUGGUACACGCCAGGCAGCCUCUAAUUUGUGAAACUUGCCUACAGUUUAGAAAGCGACGGGCAGUCGCCGUCGCAUUGAUCCUAGGCCCAUCCGAAAAUGGAAAGCAGCUGCCAUGAGGCAGAGAGUUCUACAGAGUGUGUGGAUUUGUCUAACACUUGUCUUCCCACAAAUUGAAGGCAAUAUAAAAAAUCAUGCAUGAUUUUGUGAAUUUCUGGAUUCAGUCAACCACAUGGCGCAGUCAUAAACAUGUUCAUCUUCAGCAACAUGCGCGGUACGGAAAACCACAAAUCAAAAUGUCAAAAGUGCUACAGCUGUUGAUGUCUCUAUAAAGGCUGCAUCUCUCACUCACAUAACUGGAACGGAAACUGGCCGGCUACCGUUUGGCGGAGCAGCUCGGCUGAGCGUCAACCUCAGUGAUGUACAUAUAUAAAUGUUUGCCUCCCACAGCAAUAGGGUUAAAUCUUAUAUUCAAAUAUUUCGAUAUUUUCGGGUAAG